rnacentral:tRNA from 1 species
GCUCGAUAAGCUCAAUUGGCCGAGCGGGGUUUUGAAGCGACCUAGGUUGUAAGUUCAAAUCUUACAUCGAGCA